UGGAAAAGUAGCAUAAAAAGGAAAAUGAAUUGGAAAAAUCGAAAAAUGAAUGGGAAAUGGUACAUAAAAACUGGAAAAACCUAUAAUUGAGUGCAACCAGACUCUGUUCUAAUCUCAAGACCCGAACUCUCGCAUUUUUGGCCAGUUUUAAUCCCAUCUGGCUGUGAACUCCGAGGCAAAAGUCUGGAUGCCGAGGUCAAGACAAUCGCCUGGCAAGUGCACCUGAUUGGCCCUAAUAAGCUGCCCAUUAGGAUGGUCCCGGUGACACAAAAGCCCAUCACAACGAGCCUUGAGCCACUGCAUCACUUUGCUGGCAGGCAUCAGAUGGCGAUGGUUUUUUUUUUUUUUUUGGUUUUUCCGAGCCAUUCAAUCGCUCCGCCAGACAAGCAAAUUUCGUUAAAAUCCCAUCAUAAAAACACACGAAGCGCUGCACAAAUCCAAAUACUGGAGCUACCUACCUACCUGUGCAAAAAGGCAAUUUGGAAGGGUGGAAACGUGAAAACGUGGAAAAGCGAAGCCUGCAAUGGCCAUAUAUCAAAAGGCGAAAGAGUAAAGCACAUAAAACCAGCCAAACUAAACGAACGUGAGAUGUGCAGAGAUCGGACCAACAGGACAGCGGGAUUUGCUGGCGGCAAGUUGGUUAGCGGCAAAUAUUUGUGGUACUUCCAGUUGGCCACUGAGUGGUUUAUGACUUCUUGGGCCAGUCCCAAAUCAGUGGCUCACGCUGAACUGGAGGACCCCGGCACUAAAAUCCCGCCCCUGCACCGCGCAAAAUAUCAGGCAAUACUUAAAUGGUUUCCACUUGAAGGGUCAUGGAAAUUUCACUACACCUGCAGAAAGCAUCACUUGAGUUUCCAAACUUGUUUAAUAAUUAAAUACUUUUACUCCGUUUUAUGCGCAUUUAAAGUCUGUUGUCCUGAAGAUUAAGACCAGUUUCCUACACAUUAUGGCUAUUAUAUUAUAGUCACUUUUGACUG
ensembl:ncRNA lncRNA:CR44781 long non-coding RNA:CR44781